GAUGAACGUUGGCGGUGUGCCUAAUACAUGCAAGUCGAACGGAGACUGUAGCAAUACUGUCUUAGUGGCGAACGGGUGAGUAACGCGUUGGUGAUCUGCCUCGAAGUGUGGAAUAACCUCCCGAAAGGGAAGCUAAUACCGCAUAGUCUCUCAAGGUUUAGAAAAUUGAGAGUAAAGGAUUUAUUCGCUUCGAGAGGAGCCUGCGUCCCAUCAGCUAGUUGGUAGGGUAACGGCCUACCAAGGCAAUGACGGGUAGGGGACCUGAGAGGGUCGGCCCCCCACAAUGGAACUGAAACACGGUCCAUACACCUACGGGUGGCAGCAGUAGGGAAUAUUAGAAAUGGACGAAAGUCUGAUCUAGCAACACCGCGUGUGCGAAGAAGGCCUUCGGGUCGUAAAGCACUUUUUGGAAGGAAUAGGAAGGAAUGUACUUCCAGAAUAAGUCUCGGCUAACUACGUG
rnacentral:rRNA from 1 species